ensembl:lncRNA
CGAGCACUCACCUGUUAUUUGUGUUACAGUAACAUGUUUGUUAAUGGAGGUCUGCAUCUAAUGAAGAUCAGGUGCCUCAUGACCUUCAACCAGGACUGGAAAAAGACAUAAUUUAAGGGACUGUCUCCAACCUGGAUGGAAGGACUUUUUUAUCAGGAGAAACUACACUACACCAGGAUGAGAAGACGGCGACAUCAGAGGGAGACAGCUUCCCCAAGAUGCUGGACCUGAUUCGUUUCUUGAAAGUCCUAGAGAAAAAUCAAUUGUGAUGCAAUAUCAUCCAUAAGCAUCAAAAUGCUACUUUUCCUUGGGG